CUAUCAUUAGUCAUUUAUGCCUGGAACAAGGCUCUGUCUGACAAUGUGGAAGAGAGACAGCUUGGGCCUAAAACACCAGUGGGUCUGGAGCAAAAAGAACACAGGUAUUGGGGUUUAUGUACAGAUGGGCAGGGGGACAGGACAAAAUUGUGGAGGAGGAGGAGGAGGAGGAUGCAGCUGGGAAGCCCACUGCUGGGUGAAUCAGUAUGGCCUCAGCACAUCUCAAGGGCUUUCCCAGCCCUCUGCAUCAUUGGGUCAUUUCUUGCAGAGACUGGGUCCAUGCUGGCCCCCUGCCAUCCAGAGCUGCUGCUCAAUCUGUUUGCUCAACAUAAAAUGGCAGCAAACUCUGACCUCGGGGCAGGAGGGGGCCGGGUCUGGAAGGCGGCACUUCGGUUUCACCUCCAUCUCACCAGAGCAAAACCAGGGAUCUGCACCUUCCCAGCUGUGAUUGCCUAACGGACAUCACAGACUGUCAGCUGUUUCUUUGACAGUAUUUACCUUAAAAAGUUUUGUUCCUAAAGGCUUGUCAAUUUAUAGCUAUAAUCAAAUGAGAGCUCAGUGGAGCUGACUGGUUCCACAGCACUCAAGUUUUUCUCAGUCUGUGCAUCUGUACCAUAGAAUAAAAGCCUGGAAAUUAUGUUUUCUUGGAUAUCUCAGCCAAAUUUAUGACUAGUCCUCUUUUCUUGCCCAUUUCUUGCUGUCUUUCCUAGUCCCCUUCUCACUCAUCUUUGGGGCAAUUUGUGCCUGCUGUGAGGCAACCCUCACCUGUCUGUGGAGACAGCUGAGCUACCAGUUGUCCUGGUUUCAGCUGGGAUAGUUAUUUUUCUUCUUAGUAGCUGGUACAGUGCUGCAUUUUGGAUUUGGUAUAAGAAUAAUGUUGAUAACACACUUAUGUUUUAGUGGUUGCUAAGUAGUGCUUAGUCAAGGAUGGCUGGACUUGAUGAUCUCAAAGGUCUUUUCCAACCUAAAUGAAUCUAUAAUUCUAGGAUUCUAAGUUUCCCAUGCUGUGCCAGCGAGGAGGUCCAUAAGAAGCCAUGAGGAAGUAUAGCCAGGACAACUGACCCGAACUAGCCAAAGGGAUAUUCCAUACCACAGAACGUCAUGCUCAGUAUAUAAACUGGGGGGAGCUGGCUGGGAGCCUCUAGUCAUGGCUCAGGGACUGGCUGGGCAUCAGUCUGCAGGUGGUGAGCAACUGUAUUGUGCAUCACUUGUUUUUCUUGGGUUUUAUUCCUCCGUGCCCCCCCCCCCCCCAGUUGUUGUUGUUGUUAUUAUUAUUCUUGCUAUUAUUUUAUUUUACUCUAUUUCAGUUAUUAAAUUGUUCAUAUCUCAGCACGUAAGUUUUACCUUUUUCUGAUUCUCUUCCCAUCCCAUUGAAGAGGAGAGGGGAGUGACUGACCAGCUUCGUGGUACUGAGUUGCUGACUGUGGCUAAACAGCAACAGAAUGAUGUGUUUGCGAAACAGAGUAAUAAGUUAUUAAUUGGUUUAGAGGGUAACUUUUGCAAUCAGUACUCCUAAAGUCAUAAGGGAGUAAAACAAAACAAUUCCAACUAAAAUUGUUUAUUCAGAAAAUGCCUUUAAAAAGAAACAAAGAAUACUGCUUGUUCAAACUGUUCCUAUUACGAGAAAGGAAGACCUCAAAGGAAAUUUUCCCUAGCAGGGGAGUUUCUUUGUAACAGUCACCAAAUAAAAUCUAGUAAGCCCAUUAAAUUAAAUACUUUUUCUGCUUUCUCCACUGAUUUUUAGAAACAAGAACAAGAAAGGGGUGACAAGCCCCUGAGAAAGAAAGGGAAAAAAGCAAAGUUGUAAGAAGGUAAAAAGCAGAGAGAAGCCCUAUGAACAGUGUCAUGUGGAGCAGUCUACUGCUGCCAGCAGCACAGGUGUACUGCAGAGUGGGGACUGGAGCCCAUGCUCGGUGCAUUUGGGACAAUUGAGCUUUUCUUCUAUUUCCUGGUUUGAAUUUCAGCUGCAAGCAAUGAACAGUCUCAAGUGAAAGGCAAGCACAGGGACAUCAGUAUCUGUGUGUCAAGCACAGAUUUACCACUAGGCAGACAAGCAGGUUUUAAUGUCAGACAAUGCCUGACUGAAGUCUUUCUUUCUCCUGCAAGAGCUGUAUGAAAGAGACAAGUCCAUUGCUUGAGGACUUGUUUUCUGAGUCUGGAUUUUUCUGAUGGCAGUAAGCCAAGACUUCAGGUUUUAGAGGACUGAUUUUGCAUAGUCUUUUGAGAUGAAGUCAUACUCAACAUAACCAGUUUGCAAGGUUUUGAUAGCAUAUGUAGGAAGGGUAUUUCCUUUCUGUCACACACUGUGUUCAUGGAUGUUGUUUUCUUAAACUUUGUUCUAUCACUUGCUGAAAUUGCAAAAUUCAGGGGAUUUAAGGAAAGAAAAUCAUAGCGUGUCCUUGUUAACAAAGAUCAUCCAAUAAUCAGUUUGAUGGCUAAAGCUCAGCGUGGGAGCAAACCAGGGAUCUUUGGCCCCUCUUACACAUUUGUUACCUUUGUCUGCAUUAAAGAAGACAACUAUGAGAAUCUGGAGUAACUCCAAACAUUUGCCAGCUGGUUUUGAAUGUUCUCAGCUGUGUGUGCUGGUGGAUAAUCUUAGACUUAUUUUGUGCUGUUUGUUGCUGCCAGAUAGUGUUACUGUUUAAUGACAGUGUUAGAGGCAGCAAAAGUAGGUCCAGCUUCUGAGCUAGAAAUAAGCCUGUAUAGCUGUGGCUGAAAGUUAAUUCAGUUUGAAAAGAAAAAAAAUAAUCCUCCAGUGUAUUCAUUUGGCUGCUUCUCCUAAUACUUGUGGGAAAAUAAACAAUUUUCAAACCUUA